UUUUUUUUUGUAAAUGACUGGAUUUUAUGAUAUGCAAAUUAUACCUCAAAAUUUAAGGGAAAAGAGGUUCAACAGAAUCAGAACGACUGCUUUGAAACAACUAAUAACUUCUGUUAAGUAACCUGGGUGCCUUUGCCUUGCUAAUCUGUCUUUUGUUAGAGGACCUCGCCUUGAACCCAGGAUGAGUGAAGGAGAGAGCUGGACAUUGUGUGUGUGUGUGUGUGUGUGUGUGUGUGUGUUCUUUUCCUCUGUUUUCUGCAACAACUGAAGCUAGGAAUUAUUUGAUAAAUAUUGUUGUCAUUUGCAUAUCUUUAAUUACUAAUGAGUGUCUUCAUAGUGUUUUAUUAGAGUAUUAUAAUUAUGUAUAACAUUUAGGUUCAUUUUGGCAAAAUUACACAUGCUAGGAAUUUGAUUUUUUUUUUUUUUUUUUUUUUUUGUGCUGGGGAUUGAACCCAGGACCUUGUACAUUUGAGGUAAGCACUGUACCAACUGAGCUAUGUCCCCAGCCCAAGAAUUUGAUUUCAAUCGCUAUUUCUUCAUAAUUUUGUUAGAUGUUUAAAUUUCAGCUUGACUUGCUUGUUCAGAGCAUAUUAGAUUUCCUGUCUUACUUUUUGAUUGAAGGAAUUGUUUUUAGAUGCUCUUUUUGGGUUUAGACAUUGCAAAGUCUUCUCCCAACCUCUCAUCUAUUACCUUUAGCCAUAAUGUCUACUGGUGAACAAAGAUAAACUAUAUUGAUGUUAUCCAAUCUAUUUUUCUCCCAUAUGUUUUUCUGGAACUACUUCCUAGCUUUAAUUUAAAAUUAUUAUUUUUUUAAUUUUUAAAAAUCAACCUCACUGCAGCUUAAUUUACGUUUAAUAAAAUGCACCUAUUUAAAGCAUAGUGUUCAGGCUGAGGCUAUAGCUCGGUUGGUGGAGUACUUGCCCUGCAUGAACAAGGCCCUGGGUUUAAUCCCCAGCUCCACUAAAUAAAUAAAUAAAUAAAUAAAGCAUAGUGUUCAUUGAGUUUUGACAAGUCUACAGGGACACCACGUAUAUGCUCUUUGGUGUCUAGCUUUUUUGUGUGUGGGUGCAAUGCUAGGGAUCAACCAGGGCCUCCCACAUGCAAGGCAAGGCUCUGUCACUGAGCCACAUCCCAGGCCUCAGCAUAAUGCUUUUGAGAGUCAGCAUGGUAUUCAGUGUAUAGGUGGUCCAGUCCUUUUCAUUGCUAGGUAGUAUUCCCUUUUGUGGAUAUACCAUAAUGUGAAUCCACUCAGCUGUUGAGUUGUUUCAUUCCUUGUUUAUUUUGAAUAAGUGGCUGUGAACAUUUGCAUGUGAGUCUGCAUGGAUAUGUCAGGCUAUAGGACACGCUGCUCUGAAAUAUGGCACGUUGGUGUUUGGAAAACAGCAGAGGCAGGAAGGUCACCUUCAUCUGGCCCUUUCUCCCCAGAAGCAGGUCACAGAAUCUUUGGGUGCCCUUUCCAGACCCAAAGGAUAGGAGAGCUAAACACGCAUACGGCAGUAAGGAUGGAAGAGACUUUCCUUGCUGAGCUGCCCCAGGCAUGGCCUGGCCGUCACGCCUCUGUAGGCCUGCAGUCACGUGUCUCUAGGGCUGUCCACUCUCCAAACCUAAGCCUAAAACCACACACGUUUACCUAUUUCUUCCCGUCUUCUUUGGCUUAGGAAGACUCCCAUAUCCCAUGAAGUGUACACCAAGUAACCUUUUGUCAUAGGGUCUCACCAUGAACCCAGCGAUGGAUAUUUCCCUACAGGUGGGUAUUUCCGUUUUCCAUGGGUGUGCCUAGGAGUACCGUUGCCGGGUCCCAUGUUAAGUGUAUGGUUAAUUUUGUAAGAAAUUAUCCAGCUAAUUUGCAAAGUAGUGAACUCCUGCUCUGUCGGAAUCAUGCUGUUUCCAUCUCCAAAGGAGAGGCAGGGGCUCCUGGGGCUCGGACAGCACUAGUCCUUUUAGUUUUGGCGAUUCUAGUGAGCGUGUAGUUGCAUGGGGAAGCGCUUGUUGUGAUUUAGGUAUGAUGUCCCCCAAAAGCUCAGGUGUGACGUUGCAAGAAGGCUCGGAGGUGCAAUGGUCAGACGGGGAGAGUGGAUUAAUCCCUGGUGGGGAUCAGCCUCGUGGUGACCAUGUCAGGUGGGUGUGCCGCUUCUGAAACCCUGAUCUCCAAAUAAACUUUUCCUCUUCAAAAUCGCUCUUGCCAGUUCUUUGGGUCGGGGAGAUGACAAAUUGACUGACACUCUCCACCAGGACUCUCACUCACACUCUCCUGCUUCCCUCUCCAACACCAAACAUUCUCGGUUCUCUGCAGACCCCAGCCGGGGGGUCCUGCAACCCAGUUCAAUUCUGCCACCAUCUGCCUGGAGCUGACCCCAGCCUAAGCCACAUUUCCAGUGACUGCGGGGCGUGGAAACCCUACCAAGUGAUCCUGGGCUGGGCUGGGCCGGGCUCAGAGGUGGAGCCUUGGCUGCUGUGCACAAGGCUCUGGCUCCGUCCCCAGCACAAAAUGAAUAAAUGGAGUGUUUUUUACUGUAGCAGAAACAUAACUGUCCCAUGGCUGUGGUGGUGACCUCAUCUCUGAAGGCUCCACCAUCUCUGGCUUCUGCCGCUUCUUGAUCACAGUGUGCUUGUUCCUUAUGGGUUUAGUUUCCUUGAGAAAUUAUUUCUGGGGUCUCACUGGGCCCUUACAGAGAGGGCGUAGACCUACUGGGUGUGCACAGGCUUCCCUUCUGCACCACCGCUCUGGGAAACCGUGAUCCACGGACUCCUUCAGUGCUGCCGUGAUUUCACCCUUAGAGCCGUCAGUUAUUGGGGAGGAAGCUUGUCCCCACAGCUUGCUCCACCGUGUUGAUGACAUCAGACCUGCUUUGAAACAGUUUAGAUUAUUUGUUCUUUGAUGAUUGGAUAAAACCGUCUGAGCCAGGUCUUUGCUCAGCACCUCUUUGAGCCUAUCCUUUUGGUACCUGGUUACCGUUAGUGGUGGGUUAGGUUGAACUCCAUCACGAGCCAGUCCUGGCAGAGUGACUCCUGUAUCUCGCUCCUGCUGUCCAGUGUGGAAGCACCAGCCCUCUGUGGCCAGUGAGCACUUGGAGUGUAACUCAUCUGCACUGAGGAUUAAAGAAGUGCAAAACAGACACAGGAUUUUAAUUUCUAAAAAACAUUGAUUACAACUUGAAAUAUAUUGGACACACUGGGUUAAAUAAAAUAUUAUUAAAAGUAUUUUCACUUGUUUUAAAUGUGGAAGAUAGGGGGAAAAUUGUUGUUUUUCCACCUUUUUUUUGCAGUACUGGCAAUAGCACUCAAGCUGGACAAGUGCUGGACCAUACCACUGAGCUACCUCCAUCCCUAGCCCUUGCUAUUUUGUUUAUUUGCUGUCCUGGGGAUUGAACCCAGGGCUUCGUGCAUGCUAGGCAAGUGCUCUACCACUGAGCUACAUUUCCAGCCCCUUUUUAUUUAAUUUUGAAACAGAGUCUUGAUAAAUUACCUAGGCUGGACUUGAACUUGACAAUCCUCCUGCUUCAGCCUCCCAAGUAGCUGGGAUUAUAGGCAUAUACCACCACACCUGC
rnacentral:lncRNA from 1 species